CCCUUGGCCAAACCUGCCCAGAGGUCGGAUGCAAGAGAACGUAGGAAGUGUAAUACAUGGCAGAGCAGGGGAAGAGGCACUCGCCGAGAGCCAACAGGCAAAGGACCAGCCCGGCUAUCUCUCAGUAAUGUGAGGCCUCUGAGGCAUAGAGAAACUAAGUAACUCACCCAAGGCUUAAAAAGAGAUGGCAACAGACAACAGCCACUUAGAAACAUACUGGAUUCAUCUCUGACCUGGCCAGCUGAGCUGCGCAAGGCCUUGUAACAUGGAGUACCAUGCAAAUCUGAACAAACCGCUCUGAACAGUCCACGCUGGGUGACUCAGUUGGAUGUCUCCAAGUGCUUCUGAAGAUCCCUCCCACCCUCCUCUGAUCUUAGAGAUGUGGCCUUAUACAGAAUACAUCAACUGGCUCCCUUGCUCUCUGACUCUGAUUCCAGCCAACGGCGAGGCUGGCAGGAGAUUAGAAAGAGGGCGAAUAGGGUUGACAGUGCAGCCCUCUUCUUCCAGGGUCACUGUGCAGUCUCCACACAGCCCUCUGUUCUGGGCUUCCAGUAACUGCACUGUUUCCUUGCCUCUACAGGCCCAGCCAUUCCAAACUCCAGGUUACCACAUUCUCCCUGUAAUUCCUCUAUGUCUCUAUGCCUGCAAUUUUGUAAAUAGUCCCUCUUUUAAACCCUCUCAAAUUGCUCUAAUUUGAGGAUGCUCUCUGUUUACCAGUGAGGACACUAACACUUACCGAAGAGAUAUUUUAAUAUACAUUUAAAUUCUUGUCAUCCAUUUCUGAUACUAGCUUUUAAAAUAAUGGUAAUCACUUAGCCCCAUAAGAGUCCAUUUCCACUUGUGGCUGAGCUCAGCAGUCCUUGGUUUGGGCAUCCCAGGCUAGGACUUGAAUUCUGGCCCUCUUACUAUCUAGCCAUUGGCUUUGGUAACUCAUUUAACCUCUCUAACCCUGUUACCUUAUUUGUAAAAUUAUGAUAAUAGUAUAGAAAAUGUCUUUAUAUACAACUUUGAAUAUGGUAUAACUUUUUUAGCUGUUCAAAUUUCUUUGAA